rnacentral:lncRNA from 1 species
AACUAAACACAAGUUAGAGACCAUGACUAGUAAGCCAAGCUCCUACAAAUUGCCAUGCCAAAAGAAAAGAAGAAUGACCUUGUAUGGAUUGUUAGGUUUUUUGCUUGACCAAGAAGCAACCUAUCUUUGACGCAAAGCAAUUCACUUGAUCUUUGAUCAAGAUGAAUUUAAUUUGGAUCAAAUAAGGUUAAGUCUCUCAUAUGUCAAGGCUAACCACAAAUCAUUAACUCAUUGGUCAAAAGAAAAAUAAGAAGAUGAAGAUGGAAAUGGAAUGUACAAAAUUGGAAUUCAAGAGAAAUAACCAAAACACAUUGAUCAAACAUGAAUGGAAUCAAC